rnacentral:rRNA from 1 species
AAAUAAAAAUUUUAAAUUAUAGGAAAAAAAGGAUGUCUAGGUACUUUAAGACGAUGAAGGACGUAAAAAAUAUAUAUAUAUACGAAAAACUUAUUUAUAGCUUAUAUACUUUAAAUAAGAUCUCCGAAUAGGGAAACCUUUUAAUAUUUUUUAAAUUAAAAAUGAUUUACUUGAGGAACUGAAUCAUCUUAGUACUCAAAGGAAAAGAAAAUAACAAUUAUUCCCUUAGUAGUGGCGAACGAGUAGGGAUAAGAAACGUUAGACGUUUAGUUUAAAUAAAAAUAAAAUAAAGUAAAUAUAAACAACUGGUUUAUAUUGAAGAAACAAGAACUUCCUUGUAAAACUAAAUACUUUAAAGUAACCGAUAGUGUACUAGUACCGUGAGGGAAAGAUGAAAAGAACCCCGGGAGGGGAGUGAAAAGAGACUGAAAUUUUAAUCCUAACAACAAUAGAAGGGUAUAUGAACCUAACUAUUUGCCUGUUGAAGAAGGAACCGAUAAGUUUUGGUUUUUAAGCAAAAGGCUAAAAUUAAACUUGAAGCCAUAGUGAAAACGAGUUAUUACAAUUAGUAAUAGCGUUUGUAUAUAACCAAAAACCCGAAUCCAAUUGAUAUAACCUUGUUCAGAAUGAAAUAUAAAUAACUUUAUAUAGAAGUUCGAACUGAUUAAUGCUGCAAAAUUAUCAGAAGAAAUGAGGUUAGUUGUGAAAUGCUUGUCGAAUUUGGAGCUAGCUGGUUCUCCCCGAAAUGUAUUGAGGCGCAGCUAUUAUAAUAUAUAUAAAAAGGGUAAAGCACUGUUUUUAAAAUCACUAUAAACUAAUAAUAUUUU